rnacentral:SRP_RNA from 1 species
GCUGGGUGUGGUGGUGGGCACCUGUAAUCCCAGCUACUCAGGAGGCUGAGGCAGGAGAAUUACUUGAACCCAGGAGACAGAGGUUGCAGUGUGCCGAGAUCAUGCCACCGCAUUCUAGCCUGGGUGACAGAGUGAGACUCCGUCUCAA